AGGAUAAGUCAAAUAAAUAAAAGGGGGAAUUUCUUGUCUUUGGUUUUUAUUUCUUUUUAGGUUUUUUUUUAUUUCUUAGUUAGAAUUUUUCUUCCGCAUAAUAAAAUAGCUAGCGUGAAUAAAUAAGCUCAAUGGCUCUUCAUUUGGAAAAAAUAAAGUGAUGUGGUAAUGGAAAUGAACAUGUCUAGGACUGGAUUGUUGAGAAAGACUUGGUACUUAAGAAGUUUUUAUGACUCACCGC
rnacentral:lncRNA from 1 species